GACGAACGCUGGCGGCGUGCUUAACACAUGCAAGUUGAACGGAAAGGCCCUGCUUUUGUGGGGUGCUCGAGUGGCGAACGGGUGAGUAACACGUGAGUAACCUGCCCUUGACUUUGGGAUAACUUCAGGAAACUGGGGCUAAUACCGGAUAGGAGCUCCUGCUGCAUGGUGGGGGUUGGAAAGUUUCGGUGGUUGGGGAUGGACUCGCGGCUUAUCGGCUUGUUGGUGGGGUAGUGGCUUACCAAGGCUUUGACGGGUAGCCGGCCUGAGAGGGUGACCGGCCACAUUGGGACUGAGAUACGGCCCAGACUCCUACGGGAGGCAGCAGUGGGGAAUAUUGCACAAUGGGCGGAAGCAUGAUGCAGCAACGCCGCGUGCGGGAUGACGGCCUUCGGGUUGUAAACCGCUUUCGCCUGUGACGAAGCGUGAGUGACGGUAAUGGGUAAAGAAGCACCGGCUAACUACGUG
rnacentral:rRNA from 1 species